AUUGAACGCUAGCGGGAUGCCUUACACAUGCAAGUCGAACGGCAGCACGGACUUCGGUCUGGUGGCGAGUGGCGAACGGGUGAGUAAUGUAUCGGAACGUGCCUAGUAGCGGGGGAUAACUACUCGAAAGAGUAGCUAAUACCGCAUACGCCCUACGGGGGAAAGGGGGGGAUCGCAAGACCUCUCACUAUUAGAGCGGCCGAUAUCGGAUUAGCUAGUUGGUGAGGUAAAGGCUCACCAAGGCGACGAUCCGUAGCUGGUUUGAGAGGACGACCAGCCACACUGGGACUGAGACACGGCCCAGACUCCUACGGGAGGCAGCAGUGGGGAAUUUUGGACAAUGGGGGCAACCCUGAUCCAGCCAUUCCGCGUGUGCGAUGAAGGCCUUCGGGUUGUAAAGCACUUUUGGCAGGAAAGAAAUCGCACGGGAUAAUACCUCGUGUGGAUGACGGUACCUGCAGAAUAAGCACCGGCUAACUACGUGCCAGCCGCCGCGGUAAAAC
rnacentral:rRNA from 1 species